rnacentral:pre_miRNA from 1 species
ACAACAACAUUCGGACCGUCGGUCUACCGAGCAAUGUCAUCCGCUCGGUGGAAGAUCUUCCCUUUGUCGUAUAUA